CAGCAGCCGCGGUAAUACGAAGGGGGCUAGCGUUGCUCGGAAUCACUGGGCGUAAAGGGUGCGUAGGCGGGUUUUUAAGUCAGAGGUGAAAUCCUGGAGCUCAACUCCAGAACUGCCUUUGAUACUGGGAAUCUUGAGUAUGGAAGAGGUGAGUGGAACUGCGAGUGUAGAGGUGAAAUUCGUAGAUAUUCGCAAGAACACCAGUGGCGAAGGCGGCUCACUGGUCCAUAACUGACGCUGAGGCACGAAAGCGUGGGGAGCAAACAGGAUUAGAUACCCCGGUAGUCCCUGUCUCUUAUAC
rnacentral:rRNA from 1 species